AGGAGGAAAAACGAGUCGG
rnacentral:miRNA from 1 species